GACGAACGCUGGCGGCGUGCUUAACACAUGCAAGUCGAACGGUGAACCGGGCUUCGGCCCGGGGAUCAGUGGCGAACGGGUGCGUAACACGUGGGCAACCUGCCCCAGACACUGGGAUAACCCCGGGAAACCGGGGCUAAUACCGGAUACUCCGACCGGACCGCAUGAUCCGGCCGGGAAAGCUCCGACGGUCUGGGAUGGGCCCGCGGCCUAUCAGCCCGUUGGUGGGGUCACGGCCUACCAAGGCGACGACGGGUAGCUGGUCUGAGAGGACGACCAGCCACACUGGAACUGAGAUACGGUCCGGACUCCUACGGGAGGCAGCAGUGGGGAAUCUUGCACAAUGGGCGCAAGCCUGAUGCAGCGACGCCGCGUGGGGGACGACGGCCCUCGGGUUGUAAACCCCUUUCGACAGGGAAGAAGCGCAAGUGACGGUACCUGCAGAAGAAGUCCCGGCUAACUACGUGCCAGCAGCCGCCGUAACAC
rnacentral:rRNA from 1 species